AAAGACAAGUAGAAGCACCCGCUUCUCACCUGUUCGACGCACGUUUCGUGUAGUUGACUGGUUCCAAAUUUAUUAUGUGUAAUUGGAAUGUGUGGGUGUAUUACCGACACUUUUUUUCAUGU
rfam:Bacilli bacterium VT-13-104 contig038, whole genome shotgun sequence.